GUGCUGGCUCUGCUGUGGGCUUCCUUCCCUUCCUGUGCAGGUGGUGGUGCCCUCUGCGCCUUCACUGGGGCCCAGCCAAGUAACUGAAUCCAGCCAGGAGCAAGGGCAGACACUGGCACAGGUCCUGCCACUGUCCCCGACCUGGGUUUCAACACAGCUGAGGCCUGGCAUAGUCUUUCUGGACGCCUCUGGCUGGCUCGGUCUGAAAGGCGCGGCCAGGUCACAGUCGACACCAGAAGUUUGGCAGAUCUCAGUGAGGCGUUAGUUUGCAUUUCCUUGUGACGGGAACAGUACAACAUGAGGAAGGAGAAUCAAUGCACAGAAAUUAAGCUAAUGUCUUCAGUCUUUGCAACACCACUUGAGCAGCUUGACCAAGUCACUCAUGCCUAGUGGCCCCGUUAGUUGCUCUUCUCCCAUCAGUGAGCUCUGGAAUUUUCAUCAGUAGCUGCCUAUGCAUUACUCAUGGAUCAGAGAGCAGAAAGACACCAGACCUUGCCAAGUCCCACCUAGGUAGCUACACAGGGAGCCCUCUAUUGACCAUGGCCCAGAACAUGUGCAAGUGCCUUCCCAUAUGAGAGGGAGGGGCAUUGGAUUAAGAACCUGGUGACUCAGAAGGAAAUAUCCCCACCAGUGCUUUGGUGGGACUAGAAAAUUGAGCCCACUCCUGACACCAGGAAGUGCUCAUCUGGAGUUUAAUUGAAGACAAAAACCCCAAUGUUGGUGCCCAAAUGUCCCUGCCUUUUGAAACUGUUGUGUAAAUUCACUGAUAAUUCUCUUAGAUUCAUGUGGAGACAUUAGUAUUUUAACUGUUAUUCAUCCCUUUAAGGUCAUCUUCAGAAGACCCGACAUUGUGUUCUAAUUGCUCAGCAGGGCUCCCUCCUAGAAGUUUAGACAAAAACUUAUGCACAUGUGGACUGCACCAUCAGUGCCCUGGUUAUGUUGGAGUAAAAGUAUAGAGAAUUUUUAGGAAAACAGGCAGAAGUGUGGGUAUUUUUGCUAUUCUUUGCUUCACCUAUCCACGGAGGUGGAUAAAGACAUCUGGGAAGGGGAAAAUGUGGGCUAGCAAAUAGAGAAGAGGCUGCUACUAGGCUGGGAAGUGCCUCCCUCAUUUACUACUAGCCAGAGACACUGAACUUGGCUGUCCAGGCAAGCUUGGGUCCUGGGAUAUACCGAAAUAAACCUUGGCCUUUAUACAGACUUAUUCCUCAAGCCAAGUUGUUUCACCAACUUGGUUCUGAAGAUCCAGACCCCAGUUGGCAUGAAUCCAUCCCCCUUUCCAUCUUGCCAUCUUCAGCCCUCCCGGUGGAGCGGAGGUUCUCACCUAAAUAGAGAAGCUAAAUUUCUACCUUCUGAUUUUACCUUUUCCAUGUGUGCAUCUGGCACUUUCUCCAAAAGAUAAGAAUCAUUUGUGUUGACCUCUUCACUUAUUCAAUCCCACUUUCUCUUCUAACUUAGUAAGGAUUUCUGCUAGUUACAUUGGCUUUAAUUUCUUUUGCUCCCAGAAGUUAUUGGAAGAAUGCCCAUUAACCAUUUCAUCAUAUUAUUUCUAUAACCCAAAUUAAUUUUCCAGAACAUGCAGCAUAUCACCGUAAUGAUUUGCUAUGACCAGUUGCAUUAGAAAAUAUUGCCUUUCUAUUUUUUCUGUAUUUUUAAAUUCAAUCAAAAAGGAAUAAACUUCUGCUGAC